UACGUAGGGUGCGAGCGUUGUCCGGAAUUAUUGGGCGUAAAGAGCUUGUAGGCGGUUUGUCGCGUCUGCUGUGAAAAUCCGGGGCUCAACCCCGGACUUGCAGUGGGUACGGGCAGACUAGAGUGUGGUAGGGGGAGACUGGAAUUCCUGGUGUAGCGGUGGAAUGCGCAGAUAUCAGGAGGAACACCGAUGGCGAAGGCAGGUCACUGGGCCGCAACUGACGCUGAGGAGCGAAAGCAUGGGGAGCGAACAGG
rnacentral:rRNA from 1 species